CCCAUGGAAAUCGCUAACCAGUAGAAUCGAAUGCUAUUACACGUGGAAAACAACUGACAGAUACGUAGAACAGGAGCUAUUACAAUGGCAUCUCUUCAGUCCUGAGAUUCCAGUUUCCAAGGAUGCUUGAAAGAUGAUGGGCAGAGCCUCUGACUUGCCUCAGUGUUGUAAGACACAGUCAUGAGAGCACUGCACUUACUCUAUCUACACUGUCCCAUCAAGCAAUUUCAAGGAAGAUAGAUUGAAGGCGAUGAAAGAAGGAGUGAAGGAUUUUUAGAGGCAGCUACAGUCAGUGCUGAGCUCAAAUCUAGUUUGUACCUUCA